rnacentral:rRNA from 1 species
AGUGAACGCUGGCGGUAGGCCUAACACAUGCAAGUCGAACGGCAGCACAGUAAGAGCUUGCUCUUACGGGUGGCGAGUGGCGGACGGGUGAGGAAUACAUCGGCAUCUACUUUUUCGUGGGGGAUAACGUAGGGAAACUUACGCUAAUACCGCAUACGACCUACGGGUGAAAGCAGGGGAUCUUCGGACCUUGCGCGAUUGAAUGAGACGAUGUCGGAUUAGCUAGUUGGCGGGGUAAAGGCCCACCAAGGCGACGAUCCGUAGCUGGUCUGAGAGGAUGAUCAGCCACACUGGAACUGAGACACGGUCCAGACUCCUACGGGAGGCAGCAGUGGGGAAUAUUGGACAAUGGGCGCAAGCCUGAUCCAGCCAUACCGCGUGGGUGAAGAAGGUCUUCGGGUUGUAAAGCCCUUUUGUUGGGAAAGAAAAGCAGCAGGUUAAUACCCCGCUGUUCUGACGGUACCCAAAGAAUAAGCACCGGCUAACUUCGUG